GGAGAGCGAGGGGGCGGCAGCCUCUGCCAGAACUGUGGGCUUAGCAAGCCUUUAUAGAGGGUGGAAGUCAUUGAACAAGAUCGUUGUUUGCUCCAAAGCUUUUAACAUGUUACCAGAACAGCUGCUCCACAUGCAUUGGUCUCAGAAUUCUACAAAAUGCAUGAAAUUCAUCAGUGACUGACUCAGAUCCCUGAAUCAGGUUUCUAAUUCCUGAAUUCAUCUCUUGUUUUUUGACAUUCACAGUCUGUAAACUUGAUUAUUGGUAUUAGAAAAAGGCUGUGUUUUUUCUUAAAUUUCCUUUCUCGUCUCAAUAUAUCAUUGUGUAACACAUAGUUUAAAAUGUAAUUUUAUGCUUUCUGGAGGGAGAAAAAUGAAAACUCAUUAUCUCUUAGAUAUUAAAUCAAAAUGUGCUUUCUAGUUUUUUAGUUUUUUCAGCUUUUCCUUAUCAUUUGGGUCCACUUUACAUGGUUUUAUGUUCUCAGAGUGCUAUUCAUGUUUGCAUGCUAAUUAAUCUGUACUGGUGAAUACAUGUAUAAAUAAUGGUGAUAAAUAAAAGAGCAGGUGACCAAUAAAAAAACUA